AUGAGCGGCGGCGGCCGGAAGCCGGUGGGCGACGAUGCGGAGGUGGAAGCACUGCUCCGGGCGGCACAAGACGCCGUGCUGCUCAAGCUCCAGGCCAACUCCCACCUCGUCUCGUCGUCGUCCUCCGCCGCCUCGAACCCUCUUGCUCUCGACGAGGGGCCCGGUCCACUGGACGACGACCUCGCCCGCCGCCUCGACGCGCUCAGGUCCCGCCCGGCGCCGCCGAAGCGGCCCGGUGGUGCCCCCACCCCUGCAGCCGGCGGGAUGGACGAGAUGGAGGCACGGUUCGCGGCGCUGAAAGGCGCGGCGGUUUGCCCGGAUAAGGAGACAAGGGUGCGGCUGGAGGAUCUGGGAGGGGAAUCGGACGAGGAGGACGAGGUGGAGAAGGUGAUGCGGUGGGCGAUGGACGCCGCGCGGCUCGACGUCGCCACUGCCGGCGGUGGUGCCAGCAACGCCGACCACAAGGAAGAAGAAGACAAGAGCAGCAACGCCGAGGACAAGGAAGAAGAAGACAAGAGCAGCGCCAGUAGCGAGGAUGAGGAAGAGAGACUGGAACUGGAGGAGACGAGGAAGGAGAAGGAGAUGAUGAGCAAGAAGAACAAAGCCAAGAGCAGGUGGUUCUUCUUUUGA
rnacentral:rRNA from 1 species